rnacentral:rRNA from 1 species
GAUGAACGCUGGCGGCGUGCUUAAUACAUGCAAGUCGAACGGAGGUAUGUAGCAAUACGUAUCUUAGUGGCGAACGGGUGAGUAACACGUUGGUGACCUACCCCAGAGAGGGGGAUAACAGCUCGAAAGGGCUGCUAAUACCCCAUGUCGUCAUGGUGCUUAGAAAGCCAUGCCGAAAGGUGCAAACCGCUCUGGGAGGGGCCUGCGUCCCAUCAGCUAGUUGGUAGGGUAAUGGCCUACCAAGGCGACGACGGGUAGGGGACCUGAGAGGGUGACCCCCCACACUGGCACUGAAACACGGGCCAGACACCUACGGGUGGCAG